rnacentral:rRNA from 1 species
UACGAAGGGUGCAAGCGUUACUCGGAAUUACUGGGCGUAAAGCGUGCGUAGGUGGUUGCUUAAGUCUGUUGUGAAAGCCCUGGGCUCAACCUGGGAAUUGCAGUGGAUACUGGGCGACUAGAGUGUGGUAGAGGGUAGUGGAAUUCCCGGUGUAGCAGUGAAAUGCGUAGAGAUCGGGAGGAACAUCCAUGGCGAAGGCAGCUACCUGGACCAACACUGACACUGAGGCACGAAAGCUAGGGGAGCAAACAGG